rnacentral:rRNA from 1 species
UACGUAGGGUCCGAGCGUUGUCCGGAAUUACUGGGCGUAAAGCGCGCGCAGGCGGCCCGCGAGGUGUCACGUGAAAGCCCCGGGCUCAACCCGGGAGGGUCGUGGCAAACCGGCGGGCUUGAGGCCGGUAGAGGUGGGUGGAACUCCUGGUGGAGUGGUGAAAUGCGUAGAGAUCAGGAAGAACACCCGUGGCGAAGGCGGCCCACUGGGCCGGUACUGACGCUGAGGCGCGACAGCGUGGGGAGCAAACAGG